rnacentral:tRNA from 1 species
UAUAUAUAUAUAUAUAUAUAUAUAUAUUUUAUAUAUAUAUUAUAUACUAAAAGAGAGAAAAUCU